rnacentral:rRNA from 1 species
UACAGAGGUCUCAAGCGUUGUUCGGAUUCAUUGGGCGUAAAGGGCGCGUAGGCGGCGGGGUAAGUCGGGUGUGAAAUCUCAGGGCUCAACCCUGAAACUGCACUCGAUACUGCUCUGCUUGAGGACUGGAGAGGAGACUGGAAUUCACGGUGUAGCAGUGAAAUGCGUAGAUAUCAAGCGGAACACCAGUGGCGAAGGCGAGUCCCUGGACAACUCCUGACACUGAGGCACGAAAGCUAGGGGAGCAAACAGG